rnacentral:rRNA from 1 species
AUACGGAGGGUGCAAGCGUUGUUCGGAAUCACUGGGCGUAAAGCGCGUGUAGGCGGCUUAGUAGGUCAGAUGUGAAAGCCCUCGGCUCAACCGGGGAAGUGCAUUUGAAACCACUAGGCUUGAGUACGGGAGAGGGAAGCGGAAUUCCUAGUGUAGAGGUGAAAUUCGUAGAUAUUAGGAAGAACAUCCGUGGCGAAGGCGGCUUCCUGGACCGAUACUGACGCUGAGACGCGAAAGCGUGGGGAGC